UAUUGCGUGUUGAUAUUAUUGAGUGCAGGUUCCCGUUAUCUUUAAAGAUAGUUUCUCAGUGGGAGGCUGGACUAUCUGGGUAACGGUUUGAUUGUGUUGUUUAGUAUUCAUAUUAUUGUUUAGUAGUUAGUACUAAUUGUCUUAGGCCAUAUAGGCCGGACUACUGGUACUAUUGGUUUGUGUUGUGGAGUCGUGUCUAGUUAGGAUCUGGAACUUUAUCUUUAGGUUAGGCUCUAGAUUGAGUUUGUGUUGUGUGAGUGUGCCGACAGUAUGUGCGUGAC
rnacentral:lncRNA from 1 species